AGUGAACGCUGGCGGUAGGCCUAACACAUGCAAGUCGAACGGCAGCACAGUAAGAGCUUGCUCUUACGGGUGGCGAGUGGCGGACGGGUGAGGAAUACAGCGGAAUCUACUUUUUCGUGGGGGAUAACGUAGGGAAACUUACGCUAAUACCGCAUACGACCUACGGGUGAAAGCAGGGGAUCUUCGGACCUUGCGCGAUUGAAUGAGCCGAUGUCGGAUUAGCUAGUUGGCGGGGUAAAGGCCCACCAAGGCGACGAUCCGUAGCUGGUCUGAGAGGAUGAUCAGCCACACUGGAACUGAGACACGGUCCAGACUCCUACGGGAGGCAGCAGUGGGGAAUAUUGGACAAUGGGCGCAAGCCUGAUCCAGCCAUACCGCGUGGGUGAAGAAGGACUUCGGGUUGUAAAGCCCUUUUGUUGGGAAAGAAAAGCAGCAGGUUAAUACCCCGCUGUUCUGACGGUACCCAAAGAAUAAGCACCGGCUAACUUCGUG
rnacentral:rRNA from 1 species